UAUAUUGAACGGCAUCGUUUAAUAUUGAAAGCUCCGGCGGAUAGAGAUGGGCACGCGCAAGUAUUAGCUAGUUGGUGAGGUAACGGCUCACCAAGGCAAUGAUCUUUAGGGGCCUGAGAGGGUGAUCCCCCACACUGGUACUGAGACACGGACCAGACUCCUACGGGAGGCAGCAGUGAGGAAUAUUGGUCAAUGGGUGCAAGCCUGAACCAGCCAUCCCGCGUGAAGGACGACUGCCCUAUGGGUUGUAAACUUCUUUUGUAUAGGGAUAAACCUUUCCACGUGUGGAAAGCUGAAGGUACUAUACGAAUAAGCACCGGCUAACUCCGUG
rnacentral:rRNA from 1 species